UCGGGAAUUUUGGGCAAUGGGCGAAAGCCUGACCCAGCAACGCCGCGUGAGGGAUGAAGUAUUUCGGUAUGUAAACCUCGAAAGAAUGGGAAGAAUAAAUGACGGUACCAUUUAUAAGCUCCGGCUAACUACGUGCCAGCAGCCGCGGUAAUACGUAGGGAGCAAGCGUUGUUCGGAUUUACUGGGCGUAAAGGGCGCGUAGGCGGCGCGGUAAGUCACUUGUGAAAUCUCUGAGCCUAACUCAGAACGGCCAAGUGAUACUGCUGUGCUAGAGUGCGGAAGAGGCAACCGGAAUUCUUGGUGUAGCGGUGAAAUGCGUAGAUAUCAAGAGGAACACCUGAGGCGAAGGCGGGUUGCUGGGCCGACACUGACGCUGAUGCGCGAAAGCCAGGGGA
rnacentral:rRNA from 1 species